UUGUUUAAAUAAUUUGUUGGUUAGUUAGUAAAGUGAGUAAGGGAUGUAGGCUACAUCCAGCCGUCUAUUAUCGAAAAAUAAACACUGAGAAGGGUGAAUGACCCAGAUGUGAAGUAGCCAUAUAGUAGCAGCUAUUCACUAGUGUGAAUUGAGUUGUUUUAGUUACAAAAAACAGCAAUAUCCUUUCAUUGACAUAGUGCUUAAAACUAUUCUUUUGGAAUGUGUGGUUAACGAUUUACAUUCAAGCUAGGUAAAUUUGCCUUUACAUAUGAUAAUCACAGGUGAUUGCAGUUUAGUAACUUCCUGCAUGUUUUUAUCUCGCUAGACCAGGUGUUAAUAGACUACAUUAAAUGCUUCAAUUCACUAGCAGAUAUACUAGCAGUGAAACAAUCAGAGGCAGAAUUAAGACAGAAAAUCAUAUUGUUGUUGUAAAUAAGCUAUUCAUCUAAGCGGAUUCAUUCAUCAACUAUUUGUAAAUAACCUGUUCAGUUGUAACAAGUGUAUCGACUGUUUUUGCUUCGGCACUUAUUAUAUUGUCUGCUCUACUCUUCGCAAAAGCUGGAAAAACAUUUUGGCCACAACUUAGGGACGUGAAAAGGGCUGUCACUCAUUUACUUCACCUUACUUUAUAGUUAAUUCAACGUUUACAUACUGGUGGUUGAUGUAAAACGUUAAAAAAGUUAAAGUAAAUAGGAUUUUUAAAAGUAAAAUACUUUUGUUUAGGUUCAUUAUGUAAAAAACAGGAAUUUUACUUUUUAAAUGGUUAGUUCUGUGGAUAUCUUAAUAAUAUGGUAUCUGUUUCUCUAUGGCAUUUUAUUUAAAAAUCUUUAAUCCCAAUCAGAGCAUUUGAGCAAAGAUUGCAUUGCGCUCGACCCAAUCCAAGCAAACGUUCCACUUGUGUGCCGCUCACACUCACAUCUGAUCAAAUCCCGCUCCUACAGGUUGUUUCUCUGUGCUAGAUAUAUCGUUCUCUUUGUCAUAAACUUCUUGAUCAAAUGUCUUAAUUGCAGUUGGCUUAUGGAUAACAGUUAAGAUAUUUGUGGAUUUAACAUCCUUAGCUCUUUAACCUAAAAAAUGUAUUAAUCUUUGUGAGGAGCGCAUGUAAGCAACCGGUAAUUAUGAAUAUUUUUUAACUGGAAGUUAUUACAAGCACUCACUUACGGUUUCUUAUUUUGGGACAAAAAAACAACAACACAAAAAUAACAUAAACAUGCACUUCCAUUCAUCAUCUGAGCCACACCAAAUAAAAACAAACAUACAUUAAAAAAUACACUGUGGAUAUUUUGAAAACAUCUUAAAAAAUUGAAUUAGGGACUGACUGGACAUGUAAGGGGUGCAAUUGUUAGAAAUUAUUUUUGACAGAAUCAAAAUGGUUUCAGUAAUGGUUUUAGCUUUGUUGUGUUCCUAGAUCCAUUUACCACAUCCAUGUUUUAGACAUUCCAAAUAUGUAUUAUCAAGUAUUAUCAAUUGUAUAAGUUUUUGUAUUUGAGCUAACAUAUCUGUUUAAUACUAACAGUCUGAGUAAGUAACAUUAAGCUCUCAAGUGUCUGCUUACUAAAGCAAGAUUUAUGACAUACUCAUCAUAUUUCAUUUAUUCCCCACCUGCUAAAACAAGGGCUGUCUUAGAAAAUGUUAAUGUGUUUAAGUAUAAACAUUGAUAUAUAAACGUGUAAAAAUACAUGUGGUGUGAUUUGACUGUAUUGUAAACAGCUCUGCUAAAUUACAGAGCUGAUUGAAACAUAUCCCAAUGGCUGUGAUCGGACGCUUUCUCACUGUGUUUUCAGUCCCUGAGUGGACUGAGCUGCAACCCCCACUACCUGCAGGACAUUAGCAUCUCUAUGGAGAACGGCUUCAAAGGCCAGGCUGUGAAAGUUUACCUUAGACCUAAAAAUACACAUGCUUAAACAAGUCAUCCUAUACUUAAAACACUCUGAGGACUCUGCAUGUAUUUUUUUGAGAGAUUCAACAAGAGGAACUAUUAAUAUGAGCUUUCGUUUCAGAUGUGGUAUAAAGGUUUAGUUAAACCAACAAAAAUAUGAAUGCCCAUGGUAAUCUGCUACAUCCCUAUAACAUCAUUUGAUUUAUAAAUGAGCAGAUUUUUUAUUUAUUUAUUUUUUUACAUUGUGGUAAAUUACUUUUUUCUGUCUUUAAAAAUAUUUUAAAUAGUAAAUUAAUUGUAUAUCGCCUACUUUCUUUAAAUGCUGCACCAUCCCAUAGUUUGAUAUUAUUUUUGAACUUUUCCUUUAUUAACUUUAUCAUGUUUUAUCUGCCAUUGAUAUAGGUUUGUGUUCUGUGCUCUAUUUAAAAUGCAUGCAAAAUAAUACUAAUUAUGAAAAGUACUUUUUCCUGAUCCAGUUGAUGUUUACAACUGGAUUUAAAACUAAUUUACCAACAGAUUCUACCCUUAUGUUAAUCUAGCUAUUUGAUUUCAAUCACAAAACAUUUGCAUAACAGAACCAAUAGUAAUGUUGGCUAACUGUGGUUUAUCCGAUGGCCCAAUCACUGCUCCGAUAGCAGAACGUAUAUCUCUCUAUUCCAGGUUCCUAAUUCACACUUCAUGUUUGGCAUUUGGAAGAGCACAACUUUAGAAGACUUCAACGAGAUUGUUUCCUACAUUGGAGAGUUAUCUUUCUAUUAUAGUUUAAAGAUUUAUCUACCUACAAGAUCCCAAGAUCCUAAGCGCACUGAGCCAUUUCUCAUCUCACUUUUUUUCUUUCCGAAGUAAAAGGAAAAUGAGACCCAAAAGAGUUUCUCCUGAAAAGGAAGCCUUGUACUUCAUUGCUUCGGGGAAAGAUAAAGACACAUUCGAGAAAAAAUUAAUGUGUGAAGAGAAAGGUAAGUUACGGCAUUCAAUUCUGCCAUCAGUAUGACUUUGCAAAACUUAAUUAAAAGCUAAGUUUGGUCUCUAAAUAAUGUCGAAUGGUUGGGUUUAAAAUGUGUAGCUAAAAACAACA